rnacentral:rRNA from 1 species
GGGAUUAGUUGUAGCAAUACGACUAUGAGAGUAGCGCACGGGUGCGUAACGCGUAUGCAACCUGCCUUCAUCUGGGGAAUAGCCCCUCGAAAGAGGGAUUAAUACCGCAUAACACAAUGAAUAGGCAUCUAUUUAUUAUUAAAACUACGGUGGAUGAAGAUGGGCAUGCGUGACAUUAGCUAGUUGGUAGGGUAAUGGCCUACCAAGGCUACGAUGUCUAGGGGGUCUGAGAGGAUGUCCCCCCACACUGGUACUGAGAUACGGACCAGACUCCUACGGGAGGCAGCAGUAGGGAAUAUUGGUCAAUGGGCGCAAGCCUGAACCAGCCAUGCCGCGUGCAGGAUGACGGCCCUAUGGGUUGUAAACUGCUUUUGUACGGGAAGAAACCUCAUUACGUGCAAUGAGUUGACGGUACCGUGAGAAUAAGGAUCGGCUAACUUCGUGCCAGCAGCCGCGGUAAUACGAAGGAUCCUAGCGUUGUCCGGAUUUACUGGGUUUAAAGGGUGCGUAGGCGGACUUUUAAGUCAGUGGUGAAAGCCUGCAGCUUAACUGUAGAAUUGCCAUUGAAACUGAUUGUCUCGAGUGCGGUUGAGGUCACUGG